CCCGGUGACAAUGGAGAAAGGGCCACACCUGUUCCCAUCUCGAACACAGAAGUUAAGCCUUUCAUCGCUGAUGGUACUUGGGGGGCAGCCCCCUGGGAGAGUAAGUCGUCGCCGGGU
rnacentral:rRNA from 1 species